AUUGAACGCUGGCGGCAGGCUUAACACAUGCAAGUCGAGCGAGCGGCGGAAGGGUGAGUAAUGUAUGGGAAACUGACUGAUGGAGGGGGAUAACUACUGGAAACGGUAGCUACUACCGCAUACCAUCAGAUGUGCCCAGAUGGGAUUAGCUAGUAGGUGGGGUAAGGGCUCACCUAGGCGACGAUGCCUAGCUGGUCUGAGAGGAUGAACAGCCACACUGGAACUGAGACACGGUCCAGACGCCUACGGGAGGCAGCAGUGGGGAAGAUUGCACAAUGGGCGCAAGCCUGAUGCAGCCAUGCCGCGUGUGUGAAGAAGGCCUUCGGGUUGUAAAGCACUUUUGGUGAGGAGGCGUUACUCGCAGAAGAAGCACCGGCUAACUCCGUGCCAGCAGCCGCGGUAAUUC
rnacentral:rRNA from 1 species